rnacentral:lncRNA from 1 species
UUUGUUCUCACGUUUAUCUCUCUUCUCUAACCCCAUCUUUAGUUAUUCAACACAGUUUCUAACCCAGAAUCCAACCAGCCUCCACCACCUUCGGCCAUCAUCCACCGCCAGUCACCAAUCUAAGAUGUUCUCAAUUUAAGCCAGAAACCACCAAUCUUGGAUGUUCUGAAAACCCUUCUUCUGCCGUUCUUCACCUCUUGAUUUCUAAGCAUGUUUUCUAGAAUCCGUCAUUCAACACUUUGAGCAAUGAACCAAACAUUAGUAUGGAUUAUGAUAGUUGGGCUCAAAGAUUUGAUUGCUGAACUAAUUAUAUCACAUUUUUAUCAUAUUCCUACUCUAUGCUAACAACUUAAAAAGAUAUGGCGUAUCAACUUAAAAAGAUGAGCCUCCUUCAAUGGCCUAUUCUCAGUCAAAUCGACUUAUCAUGUCAAUGUGAAGCAAAGCAGGGUUCUUCCAGGAAAUCAGAUGUUUGCUGUCCUGUGUGCUUCGGGUAUCUAAAAAAAUAUUUAUUUUGGAUAAUUCGCAUUAGACCAAUCCAAAGGUUCUAUUAGGAUUUCAAAUUCUUCGGGUAUCCUGGUGGAGGCUCGAGCAGUAUAUUAAGGCCUUCGUUUUCUUUGGGAUAAGAGGAUCCGAUAGGUUGAGUUGAAAAGUGAUAAUGCGUUGGGAACAUCUUGCGGUGCGACAAUUCCAACAAUUGUGCCGGCGGCCAUGGAGUGCGGUUAAUGCACACUUGGCGGAAAUUCAAUCGGGUUAUAGAUCAGUUGACACAGGUCUCUGAUUUGAAUUUUGGUGCUAUGCGUAUUUUUGAGAAUGUUCCACCUGAGUUUGGUUAUUGCGGAAGGGUACAAGGACCUGAGUAAAUUGGGGGUAAAUUUGAUAAGAAUGUUGAUUUUAAAAAAUAUUUAGGAUUUUAGGUCGAUUUUUUGAUAUUUAAGAAAAUAAAUCGAUUUUAGAGAGAUAAGCAUAAAAUACAUCUUACUGGACGAGUUUUCAAUUGAGGUGACAAAAAAGUGUCAUGUAGGAAACAUUUUCUGUUGAUUUGUUUGAAAACACGUUUUACAAAACACGUUUUCUUUUCAGAUGAUUAAAUGUUAGCGGUUUUGUCCUUGAGUAUCGAGAAAUUAAAAAAAAAAGUUUAAAACAACAUGAAAUAAAAAAUACAAAUGUGAGUAGGAGAAGAAUCGAACAUGAGACUUAAAGAUAAAAUCAUUAAUAUUUAACCAUCUAAGCAACGGGUUACCUCAAUUGAAAAUGCGUCCUACUAGACGUGUUCUCUAUUUCUCUCUUCAGAACUAACUUAUUUUCCUCAUUAUCUUCCAAAAUCGGUAUAUAUUACUAAUUUACCUGAGUAGAUUACCCUGCUAUUUGUUUCUACCAAAAAAACUGUAACACCCCUAACCCGUAUCCGUUGUCAGAACAGGGUUUCAGAGCAUUACUACCAUUUGCAGAUCACUUAAAAAAAUUAAAAUACUUACCGAUUCAAUGCAUCAUAUAAAAUAAAUAUAUUACCAUUCAAUCAACAGUUUGGCACUUGUAUAAGCAUCAAACAACAACAUUGUUAGUAUACUUGCACAUAUCUCAUAUAAAUUCAACAUUGGUAUAUCUAUUUUCUCGACAUGUCGCACUUGAGUUUAAUAAUAGUCUCAAUUACAUAAUUUCCUUGUAUUAACAUAUCAAAGAUAAUCAUAUAUGUACAUGUCAUGAAACAUAUCAUGCUCUUACCGUUUCUUCACAAGCAUAUAUCAUUCAUUUCAUUAUAUCAAUAUUUUAUGCUUCAUCAUUUUCAUAUAUUUUAUGUAUAUUUAUUCUGGUAAUAGCUUAUAUCAAACUUAACAUAAAUUAUAUUCCAUGUACUUAUACUUAUUUCGUUUAUCCAUUUUCAUAAUUAUUUCAUACAACGCUUUUGUACAUAUAUUUCCAUAUGACCAGUCCUUGUAAACAUUUCACACAACCAUUUCAUAUAACCAUUCGUCAUCUGAUACAUUUUACCUGAAUAUCAAUUGUUCAACAGAUGUUAUAGCGUCUCCCAUCCACGGUCUUUUUUAUCUUUGACGUGAUGCCAUAGUGUCUUUCAACUAUGGUCUUACUCAUUUUUUGUCAUGUGGCCAUGGUAUCUUUCAACCAUGGUCUUAUUCUUUUCAUGUCACGUUGCCAUGGUAUCUUUCAACCAUGGUCUUACACAUCUCAUAUCAGGUUGCCAUGGUAUCUUUCAACCAUGGUCUUACACAUAGGUUGCCAUGGUAUCUUUCAACCAUGGUCUUACACAUUUCAUAUCAGAGAGCACACUCCCGCGAACCUCAUCCUUACAGUGGGAUUACCAGUCCAGGCUAAGUCCCCUGUAAUAUAAACUCAUAGAGUAUUGUCGGGAUUACCAGUCCAGGCUAAAUCCCCUGCAACGACAAUUACUCUAAUGAGUUUGGAUCUGAAUUACUAGUCCAGGCUAAAUUCAGACCCUAAUUCGGAUUACCCGUCCGGGCUAAAUCUGUUUUACACAUAUUCUUCGGGAGGGCUAUAUCAGGAUAGGAUCACCCGUCCGGGCUAGAUCCUUUUUACCGUCAAUUCCUUUUCAGAGAUCCAUCGAAUUUUCCUUUCAUUCAACCGGGAUUUCUUCUCCUUUUAUCAAAUUUAUCAAUGUUUCAUAAAUUUUCAUACAAUAAACAUUCAAAUCAUAUUCACAUAAAUAACAUACAAUCUCAAGCAUUUAAGAAUAUAAUUCAAGUUACACGAACUUACCUCAUUGCUUGUUUGUGUUUAUAAUUUUAUUAAUUUGAUAUCUUUUCUUUUCCACGAUCAAGUCUCAUAUUUGAGUCGUUCGGAUAUUUAUAAAUAAAUUUGAUCAUCAUUUUCAUUCAUUUCAUAUUCUAAUGCAUUUAAUUAAUGCUCUAGGCAAAAUUAUCAUUUUGCCCCUAAACUUUUAAUUAAUGACGAUUUCAUCCUUAGGGUCAGGAAAAUAAAAUUCUUGCAAUUUAAUCCUUAUUUCCAGCUAUUAUUCUCAUAUAUAUAUUGAUAACAAUCCAUGAAUUCUAUAAAAUAUCAGAAUUUUUCAUAAUUUCAACACUUUUCAAUUUAAUCCCUAGAACAUGUUUUCCCCCGAUCUUGAACUAAAUUAAUAAUUUCAUUCAAUUUUUUAAUUUAAAUAAUAAAAUAAUCCAUUUCAUGCAAUUUGGUAAUUUCUGACAUGUUUACAAAAUUGCCCAUAAAGUUUUACUUUUAUUCAAUUUAGUCCCUUAGCCUAAAAUAUGCAAAUUAGCCAUGCUAGAUGAAUAUUCAUACAUAUUUUUCCUCCUCCUCCUCUCCAUUCCACAUCCUUAAUGUAGAUAACACACUUGUAAGUAACAUUAUCCAUAAUUUUUAUUAUUUACUUUUAUGAAUAUUCAAGUUGUCUAUCUGCAUCAUAGUUACUAAAUUAUUUAUAUCUGGAUCUAUAGAACUCCAAAUUAAUAUCCAAUAAUUUUCCCUGAAUCUAGACUCAUAUAUAUUCUUACCAUAAAAAUUUCAGAAUUUUUGGUUUAGCCAAUAAGUACAGUUUAUUCUUUAAAGUUACCCCUGUUCUGCUGUCUGACAGUUCUGACCCCUCUUCACCAAAAAUUAAUUAUCUCCUCAUACAGGAUUCAAAUGAUGUUCUUUUUUAUUUCUCUUAAAAAUAGACUCAUUCAGGAUUUUAUAAAUAUAAAUUUAAGCCCCUAAUUAUUUGUAUUCAAUUUUUUAUGAUUUUUCAAAGUUAGAACAGGGGAACCCGAAUUCAUUCUGACCUUGUCUCACAAAAUUCAUUAUAUCUCAAAAUUUACAAAUCCAUUGCUUACACUAUUUCUUAUAUGAGAAACUAUCUCAAUAAGCUUUAAUUCCAUAUUUUUUUCAUCUUCUAAUUCGAUUUCUAAAAUUUAUGGUGAUUUUUCAAAUUUAGUCUACUGCUGCUGUCCAAACUGUUUUUGUGCAAGCUAUUAAUUACCAUGUUAUAACACCCUUAUUUUCUUUUUCUACACCAUUUCUCAUCACUUUCUCUUAUUUUCUCUUCACUAACAUAUCAAAAACAUAGGACCUUAUGUAAGAAAACUCUACUAUAACAUUAUUUCCAUGCUUUGUCAAUAAUAACAAACUUAAAAACAUAUUGAAAUCUUGAUAUACUUACCUUGUUCUAUUGAUACUAAUCUUUAACUUAAUUUUCUCUCUCCUCCAGCUUCUAUUUCUUGAAUCCAACUUGAUAUUCUAACUCCCCAUGCUCUCCUUAACAUUUUUGUCUCUUGGUAGCUAUGGAAAUUCAUUUGAUUUUUGGGUGAAAAUGGUGAAUUUUUGGUAAAAGGACCAAAUUGUAAAGAAAGUAAAACUUUCUUUCUUCCUCUCUUUCUCUCACGUUAGUGCAUGGGAAAAUAU